rnacentral:rRNA from 1 species
AUUGCACGCUGGCGGCAGGCCUAACACAUGCAAGUCGAACGAGUGGCGGACGGGUGAGUAAUGUCUGGGAAAAUGCCUGAUGGAGGGGGAGAACUACUGGAAACGGUAGCUAAUACCGCAUACCAUCAGAUGUGCCCAGAUGGGAUUAGCUAGGAGGUGGGGUAAUGGCUCACCUAGGCGAAGAUCCCUAGCUGGUCUGGGAGGAUGACCAGCCACACUGGAACUGAGACACGGUCCAGACUCCUACGGGAGGCAGCAGUGGGGAAUAUUGCACAAUGGGCGCAAGCCUGAUGCAGCCAUGCCGCGUGUAUGAAGAAGGUCUUCGGGUUGUAAAGUACUUUCAGCGAGGAGGCGUUACUCGCAGAAGAAGCACCGGCUAACUCCGUGCCAGCAGCCGCGGUAAUAC